rnacentral:rRNA from 1 species
UACGUAGGGUGCGAGCGUUAGGCGGAAUCACUGGGCUUAAAGCGUGUGUAGGCGGACCCCUAAGUGUCUUGUGAAAUCCCACGGCUCACCCGUGGAACCGCUGGGCAUACUGGGGGUCUUGGGCCAUUCAGGGGCGACUGGAACAAGCGGUGGAGCGGUGAAAUGCGUAGAUAUCGCUUGGAACGCCGACGGUGAAAACAGGUCGCUGGGAAUGUGCCGACGCUGAGACACGAAAGCCAGGGGAGCAAACGGG